rnacentral:rRNA from 1 species
GAGUUUGAUCCUGGCUCAGAGCGAACGCUGGCGGCAGGCCUAACACAUGCAAGUCGAACGGAUCCUUCGGGAUUGGUGGCGGACGGGUGAGUAACACGUGGGAACGUGCCCUUUGGUUCGGAACAACUCAGGGAAACUUGAGCUAAUACCGGAUGUGCCCUUCGGGGGAAAGAUUUAUCGCCAUUGGAGCGGCCCGCGUCUGAUUAGCUAGUUGGUGAGGUAAAGGCUCACCAAGGCGACGAUCAGUAGCUGGUCUGAGAGGAUGAUCAGCCACAUUGGGACUGAGACACGGCCCAAACUCCUACGGGAGGCAGCAGUGGGGAAUCUUGCGCAAUGGGCGAAAGCCUGACGCAGCCAUGCCGCGUGAAUGAUGAAGGUCUUAGGAUUGUAAAAUUCUUUCACCGGGGACGAUAAUGACGGUACCCGGAGAAGAAGCCCCGGCUAACUUCGUGCCAGCCGCCGC